rnacentral:lncRNA from 1 species
GUAUCUGUGAAAAGCAGCCUAGCAAUGGACGUGUGGUUACUGAUCCCAACGCUGAUAGUCAGAGGUGGGAGUGAAGGGUGGCCAAGGCUCCUGGUACCCUAGAAGAUAGCUAGACAUUAAAAUUUGCUAGACAUUAAAAUUUGGAAGGAAGAUGUUUGCCAAGGCUGGUGCUUUUUGCAAUCAAGCUUGCCAAAUUCCUGGAACUAGAUCGGAAGUAGAGACAAAAGAAGAUGAGGAAGUCAAGGAAUCCGGUGAAAAGGGAGUACCGUCCGUCCCUCAACCCAGCGAGAGCAGCCAGAAGCCUACAAUACUGUGCUUAUGAAGUCUGCUGAGCUUACGUGCACUUAGGGUGGUUCUCUCUCAUGGGAAGGGACAAUUACAUGGGGCAUCUGUGUUAAUAUGCCUCAGGUAUUAAACUCCAAGGCACCU